GACGAACGCUGGCGGCGUGCCUAAUACAUGCAAGUAGAACGCUGAAGGAGGAGCUUGCUUCUCUGGAUGAGUUGCGAACGGGUGAGUAACGCGUAGGUAACCUGCCUGGUAGCGGGGGAUAACUAUUGGAAACGAUAGCUAAUACCGCAUAAUAGUAGAUGUCGCAUGACAUUUGCUUAAAAGGUGCAAUUGCAUCACUACCAGAUGGACCUGCGUUGUAUUAGCUAGUUGGUGAGGUAACGGCUCACCAAGGCAACGAUACAUAGCCGACCUGAGAGGGGGAUCGGCCACACUGGGACUGAGACACGGCCCAGACUCCUACGGGAGGCAGCAGUAGGGAAUCUUCGGCAAUGGACGGAAGUCUGACCGAGCAACGCCGCGUGAGUGAAGAAGGGUUUCGGAUCGUAAAGCUCUGUUGUAAGAGAAGAACGAGUGUGAGAGUGGAAAGUUCACACUGUGACGGUAGCUUACCAGAAAGAGACGGCUAACUACGUG
rnacentral:rRNA from 1 species